rnacentral:misc_RNA from 1 species
GUGAAUCAUCGAAUCUUUGAACGCAAAUUGCACUCUCCGGUUUUCCGGGAGAGUAUGCCUGUUUGAGGGUCUGUUUAAAAAAUAAUCGAGGCUGCUGCUGUGGUGGCGCUUCCGAAUUGAGCCGUCUUUCAAAUGUUAAUUCAUGUCAAAGUGGCUUAAACUUCAUCCAUCCGGUACGAUUAAAGCGUAUUUAAGAUCAAUCUUGAUUAAGAACGCGCAAUGACGUACCAUCUCAUGUAGUACGUUUGACUUGGCGUCGUCAGGAUCAUUCGUAUACGAUACUCAAACUUUUGACCUCAAA